ACGGCCGUCACGUGACUCUCCAUAAUGAGGACAAAGCCCUGUCCAGCAAGGAGGACGAUCCAGCCGGGAAACUGCACUCACCCCAUAUCCGCUGCUAACUGGCUUAACGAUGUCACAGAGGAAACUUCUCGAAAGCCCCGGCAACAACAUCCUGACAAGAAAGACUGAUGAACAAACACCUGCCUCCUCAUGACAGCCUCACCUUUUUGCAAACCCCAGAGAACAGAGCUGGGGGACGUGGUACUAAGAGUACUCACGGUGUCUGUCAGAAGCUCGCAUUAACAUGGGAAGUCUAGCUGGGUACUAACUGGCGAGCUGUUUAGAGAGCCAUGACUGGCUGAAUGUGGCUCAAGAACUUUGCAUUCUUGUGAUAUUUGUAUAAUGAAAAAGCGUGAUGUCAAAUAAACACAAAAAACGCUAA